GCCACACCAGCACCAUGAAGAGGCUGCUGUGCUCUCUGCUGGGGCUUCUGUGCACCCAGGUUUGCUGGGUGAAAGGACAGCAAGUGCAGCAGAGUCCUGUGUCCUUGGUUCUGCAGGAGGGAGAGAACUCAGAGCUGCAGUGCAACUUUUCCAUCUCCACAAACCAACUGCAGUGGUUUUUCCAACGUCCUGGGGGAAGCCUUGUCAGCCUGUUCUUCAAUCCUUCUGGGACAAAGAAGAGUGGAAGAUUGACAUCCAUGACAGUCCCUAAAGAACGUCGAAGCUCUUUGCACAUCUCCUCCUCCCAGACCACAGACUCAGGCACUUAUUUCUGUGCUAU
rnacentral:lncRNA from 1 species